AGUGAACGCUGGCGGUAGGCCUAACACAUGCAAGUCGAGCGGCAGCACAGUAAGAGCUUGCUCUUACGGGUGGCGAGUGGCGGACGGGUGAGGAAUACAUCGGAAUCUACUUUUUCGUGGGGGAUAACGUAGGGAAACUUACGCUAAUACCGCAUACGACCUACGGGUGAAAGCAGGGGAUCUUCGGACCUUGCGCGAUUGAAUGAGCCGAUGUCGGAUUAGCUAGUUGGCGGGGUAAAGGCCCACCAAGGUGACGAUCCGUAGCUGGUCUGAGAGGAUGAUCAGCCACACUGGAACUGAGACACGGUCCAGACUCCUACGGGAGGCAGCAGUGGGGAAUAUUGGACAAUGGGCGCAAGCCUGAUCCAGCCAUACCGCGUGGGUGAAGAAGGCCUUCGGGUUGUAAAGCCCUUUUGUUGGGAAAGAAAAGCAGCAGGUUAAUACCCCGCUGUUCUGACGGUACCCAAAGAAUAAGCACCGGCUAACUUCGUG
rnacentral:rRNA from 1 species